rnacentral:rRNA from 1 species
GUGAGGCGUUGAGCUAACCGAUACUAAUUGCCCGUGAGGCUUGACCAUA